AGUUCAUACUUCUUUGCUUAGAAACCUAUUAUGGUACCAGAGCCCUCUCUUUGACCCUUUGUCUUUCUCGAUCUUUCUUCUUCUUGUUCUUCCGUGGCUCAAGCUUCAAAUUCAACCAAUGGCGCCUCUUCACAAACUACUUUCGCUACUGUUUCUCUUCCAAAAAUAGGUCUCUUUCAAUUCUCCCACACCUUUUCCAUUCGAUUAGAUGAUCAUAAUUUUCUUCCAUGGAAACACCAAGUUUUUCAUGCCAUCCGAGGCAAUCGACUGCACAAGUUCUUGGAUGAUUCCAACAUUCCACCAAAGUUCUUGACCGAUGCCGAUAAAGCUGCAAAUCGUCCGAGUAUAAAAUAUCAAGAUUGGGAGACACAAGAUAGUUUACUCAUCACUUGGCUUCUUUCAUCGAGGUCUGAGAAAAUGACCAAUCAAAUGAUUGGUCGAGACACCACAGCUCAGAUCUGGUCUACCCUUUCCGAUUAUUAUACCUCUCAAAAUCGAGCCAAGAUAAGUCAAUUUCGAAUUCUUCUUCGCAAUACUCUCAUUACUAGUUCUUUAAGUGAAUAUCUUCUCAAGAUAAAACCAUUGUUGAUACUCUUGCCUCCAUAGGCCAUGUUACUUCUGAACAAGAUCAUAUUGAAGCCAUUUUUAAUGGCUUACCCAAAGAUUAUGAAGUUUUUAUUACCUCUGUUAACACCCGAACUGAUCCCUAUACUGUAGUUGAUAUUGAACUCUCUUGAUGGCUCAAGAAGUUCGGAUUGAUAAAGUAGCUAAGGAACUUGAUAUUGUUACUGCAAAGGCCAAUCUUGCUUCUCAGUCCCGUCCAACUGGUUCUCGUGGAGGGUUCUUGAAUGGCAGUUCUUGUGGUGGAUACUCCAGAGGCAACUAUCCUCAAUAUGGGUAUAAUGCUCAACAAUUUGGGAAUUCCCCGUCAUUCCCAAACCAAGGUGGUCGUGGUUCAUCCUACACUGCUCGUGGUACUCCUCCUUCUCCAUUUGGAAGUGCUCAAAGUUACCCAGGUGCUGAUCGUGGUUCUUACAACUCUUGGGGACAAAAACUUCAGUGUUAACUUUGUCACAAGCAAGGUCACAAUGUCAAAACUUGCCUCUACUUGUUUGACAAAUCAUUUCAUGGUCCUGAAUCUUUCCAGAAUUUUUCCCAAAAUCCUUCAAGUGGUGAUAUGCAAGCUAUGUUAGCUACGCCUGAAACUGUGUCAGAUGGUAGUUGGUACCCUGAUUCAGGCGCAACCCAUCACCUUACUCCAGACCACAGCAAUCUCAUUCACACAUCUGAAUACUUUGGUGAAGAACAAAUUCACUUGGGACCAAGCUACAUGAAAGAUCUUGCUAGUUGGGAGACGCCACAAGGGUCUAUAUCGAUUUAACCCCAUUUAACUUGCUCAAAUUGCCAAAUCUUCACCAUUUGCCUCAUCUGCUAGUUCUUUUUCACCUCACGCAAACUGUCAUGAACUUGAUGAUGUUACUUGUUUAAGCACUUCAUCCUUUGUUUCUCCUAGUGUGUUUACUCUAUGGCAUAAUCGCCUAGGACACCCUUCCACAAAGAUUGUAAAGUCUGUACUAAAUUCUUGUAACAUUCAAUUCAGUAAUAAAAAUGUUUUAGAUUUGUGCAAUUCUUGUUGCCUUGGUAAACAUCAUAAGCUGUCAUUUCCUCUUUCUACCACUGUCUAUACAGAACCUUUACAACUCUUGCAUUCAGAUUUAUGAGGUCCUGCCCAUGUAACAUCCUCUAAUGGCUAUAAAUACUACAUUAGCUUUAUUGAUGCAUUUUCUAGACAUACUUGGAUCUAUUUACUAAGAACCAAAGCUGAAGCUUUACCCACUUUUAUCAAGUUUAAAACUCAAGCUGAAUUAUAACUCAGUUGUCAAAUUAAAGCCAUUCAAUUUGAUUAGGGGGGUGAAUAUCGUUCAUUUACACAUUUUCUUGAAACUCAUGGCAUUAUGCAUAGGCUUUCUUGCCCACAUACACGUGAACAAAAUGGUAUUGUCGAACGUAAACAUAGGCAUAUAGUGGAGAGUGGUCUUACCAUGUUAGCUCAGUCAUCUAUGCCUUUAAAGUAUUAGGAUGAAGCCUUUAGGAUUGUUGUUUUCUUGAUUAAUCGUAUGCCAACACCUGUACUUACUAAUGUUUCUCAUCUUGAAGUUUUGUUUCAGGUCAAACCCGAUUAUUCAAAACUUAGAGUGUUUGGCUGCCUUUGUUUCCCUAAUCUCAGAACUUAUAACAGAAACAACCUCAAUUAUAGGUCAACCCCGUGUACAUUUCUUGGUUAGUGUUUGACUUACAAGGGGUACAAGUGUCUCUCCAAAGAAGGGCGUUUGUAUCUCUCUCGGGAUAUUCUGUUUCAAAAGGAUUUGUUUCCCUUUGCCUCCUCACAUGUCUCAUUGUCUUCGUCAUCACCAUCAUCACCAAAGUUGCCCUCUGCCAAGCCUCCAACUAUGUUUGUUGCUCCCCAAUCUGAACCUUCAUCCAAUGCAGCCAUAAAUCCCUCCCCAAAUCACUCUAGUCCUUCCACUCCAAUAGUUUAUGUCUCAUCCCCCCCACCUCAAGCUAACCCAUCUAUACCUGCUUCCUCGUCCUCACAGCCUCAUGUUGAUAAUGUUGCCUAGCAUACUUUAAUAUCUACUCCUGUCUCCACUGACAAUACUACCAUGAAUACUAAUCUUGUUCUUGCAGGCACUAAUACACACCAAAUGGUCAUUAGAGCUUAAGAUGGGAUCCACAAGCCCAAAGUUUACAUUGCUUCAGUUGAACCAGAGAAUCUUAAAGAUGCUAUGCAGACAACUCAUUGGCAUGAUGCUAUGACAGCUGAGUUUAAUGCUCUCCAAACAAAUUAUACUUUGUCUUUGGUGGAUUUAUCUGCUGGAAGAACUCCAAUAGGCUGCAAGUGGGUGUACAAAGUAAAAGAGCAUCCGGAUGGUUCCAUUCACAAGUACAAGGAUCGACUUGUUGCUAAAGGGUUCCAUAAAAAAAAGAUUUUGACUAUAAAGAAACCUUUAGUCCAAUUGUGAAAUCGGUUACAAUUCGGAUUGUGUUGAGUAUUGCUCUUUCAAAAGGUUGGUUUAUUCGUCAACUAGAUGUCAACAACGCUUUCCUCAAUGGUGAUUUGCAAGAGGAAGUGUAUAUGACACAACCUCCGGGGUUUGAAGAUAAACUUCAUCCAACGAAAGUUUGUCAGUUACACAAAGCAUUAUAUGGUCUCAAACAAGCACCACAUGCUUGGUUUGACAAGCUUUCUGGUACAGAUUUUUCUACCGCAAGUGUACGGUGUAUUACAAUAUAGUUUUAAUUUAAAGGAUGUCGAACCCACAUGGAUUCAAUAUUUAA